UACGUAGGGGGCAAGCGUUGUCCGGAUUUAUUGGGCGUAAAGAGCGUGUAGGCGGUUUGGUAGGUCCGCUGUGAAAACUCGAGGCUCAACCUCGAGACGUCGGUUGAAACCGUAUGGCUAGAGUCCGGAAGAGGAGAGUGGAAUUCCCGGUGUAGCGGUGAAAUGCGCAGAUAUCGGGAAGAACACCCGUGGCGAAGGCGGCUCUCUGGGACGGUACUGACGCUGAGACGCGAAAGCGUGGGGAGCGAUCCGG
rnacentral:rRNA from 1 species